rnacentral:rRNA from 1 species
UUUUAAAAUUAAUAUUAUUUUAAUGUUUUGUUAAAUAUUUUUAGUAAAAGUAAUUUGUUUUUUAGUAAUAUUUUACGAAUUAAUUUAUAUUUAUUAUAGUUUAUGUGUACUGUAAAGGGUUUACAUUAUUUAAUUAUAAGUAUACUUGUUUGUAGUACCUUUUGUAUCAGGGUUUAUUUAAAAUUCCUUAAUUAUAUUAAGUUUCCCGAAAGUAGAAGAUAUAAAGUUUUAUAAUUUUUUAUGUUUUAUAAUAAUUUUAAAUAUUACUUUAGGAAUUAUAUGUUAUUCAUUUCUAUAUAUCUGGUUCUUUAAUAAAUUAAUUUAAUUUAGGAUAUUUAUUGGUUUAUUUAUAUUUUUAUUUUAUAUAAAUUUAAAUAUCAAAGAUUGCUGGGGAUAAGCUUGGCAUUUAUUUCUAUAAUUUUUAUUUUAUUUAAUUUUUGUAGGUUUAAUAACAUCCAUCUUUAAUUUCGUUAUAGUUUUAUUUAUUUCUUUUUUAAUUUUAUAUUAUUUAGUUUGUUAUUAAAGUUAAAUAUUUAAUUUUGUAUUAUUUGUAUUAAUGAUAAAAUUAGUAGAUUAUAAAUUUAAAUUUAGUAAUUCGGCAAUUAUUACUUCCGCCUGUUUAACAAAAACAUGUCUUAUUGAUAAUAAUUUUAAGUCUAGCCUGCUCAAUGAAUAUUUUAAUAGCCAUAGUAUUUUAACUAUGCAAAGGUAGCAUAAUCAUUUGUCUUUUAAUUGAAGGCUCGUAUGAAUGGUUUGACGAGGGGUAAACUUUCUUAAUUUAAAUUUAAUUGAAUUUAACUUUUAAGUAAAAAGGCUUAAAUAUAGUUUUGGGACGAGAAGACCCUAUAGAAUUUUAUUAUUAUUAUUAAUUUUUAUUAUAUUAUUAGUAGAGGUUAAUAAUAAUAAUUUUGUUGGGGUGACAGUAGAAAUUUUUUAACUUCUAUUAUUAAUUUUUCAUUAAUUAGUGUUUUAUUGAUCCUUUAUUAUGGAUUAUAAGAUUAAAUUACCUUAGGGAUAACAGCGUAAUUUUUUCGGAGAGUUCUUAUCGAUGAAAUAGUUUGCGACCUCGAUGUUGGAUUAAAAUUAAUUAUUAGUGCAGAAAUUAAUAAAUUAGGUCUGUUCGACCUUUAAAUUUUUACAUGAUCUGAGUUCAGACCGGCGUGAGCCAGGUUGGUUUCUAUCUAUAAUUUUCUUUAAAUAGUUUAGUACGAAAGGAUCUACUAUUUUUAAUAUUUAAUUGUUUUUGAUUUAUAUUAA